rnacentral:misc_RNA from 1 species
AACCAUAGAAACCUGCGGAGUACCUGCGGAAGGAUCAUUACCGAGUUUACAACUCCCAAACCCAAUGUGAACGUUACCAAACUGUUGCCUCGGCGGGAUCUCUGCCCCGGGUGCGUCGCAGCCCCGGACCAAGGCGCCCGCCGGAGGACCAACCAAAACUCUUUUGUAUACCCCCUCGCGGGUUUUUAUAUCUGAGCCAUCUCGGCGCCUCUCGUAGGCGUUUCGAAAAUGAAUCAAAAC